GGCUCGCUCAUCGCCGCUCUCACACCGUGGCCCGUCCACAGUUGUCUGCUGACACCGAGUCCCAGGACACCUUUCACCGAGAAACAGAUUCUGCACAAUUUGGAGUUAUGGAUGCUUUCUCUCUGCAAAUAUCAGCUUCAUGGGGUGGGUUGUUUUCUUGUCUUCUUGGAAAUGCCAAAUGGUUUGCUUCAAUUGUUUGGCGAGAUCCUUCAUCUGUUCAUGUUUUGGUCGAUUCAUGUUUUCUUUGUAAUGGUUUUGGUCAGGUGUGAAAAGGGCAAAGUUUACAGCAUUUUCAAAGCAUUGUAUAUUUUGUCCUUGGAAAAUUUUAUGUAAAAUCUCCAUUACACUGACUUGUUCUUUAUAAGUCAGUGUUUUCUAGACAAUACAGUUCAUAAUGCAUGUCCAUUCUUCUAAGCUUUACCUCAGACUCCACUCUUGUAACUUCAAUUGCAAGAUGGGAGCAAGAUGAAACUAUUUUUGAUAAUUCUGGCAACAGUGGCGUGUAGAGUCACAACAAAAGUAAGAAAAAUGGCGUAACUCAAACAAAGUUUAAAGAUAUUUCAAAACAAUCUUCCAUGUUGUGUUAUCCUGAAGAGAAGUGACAUCUGUGGUCAAACUUAGUAUUCUAGCCAUAAAUUUGUAGACGACUCGCAGCAUUUACACUGUGAAGCUGGAUUAUAAUCACUCUAUAGUUAUCACUAAUGGAUUGUGCCUUUUUUUUUUUACUUUAGAAAAACUGUAAAUGUUUGUCUUAAUAAAGUUCAAUCACAUUCAAUUGUGAUUCAUUUUAAAUAGGGAUGCUAAAUAAACCCUGUGACAUACAUGGGUACAUUUAAAAAUGGUUCUGGGUUGGAGCUCUCGCAUCGAAUCACAGUUGUCAUAAUAUUAUCACGUGCAACAGCAAAGGACUCUCUGGAUGCGAUAUUUGGUACAGCAAUAUUUCAAGUGUGAUGCAUUUGCACGCUGUUUGCAAAAACCUGACUCACUGCUUAUGAUGCACAAAGUCGGAAUAAUUGUAAGUGAGAUGUCAAAGUUUGUGGCUAGCUGGUAGAAACUUCUUGAUGACAAUAAAGAACCAGAAAGAGGUGAGAUAUGCAAUUCAUUUGGAUUCGAUAAUAAAAAUAAAAGCUGUUGAAUUGCAUCCGUCCCCAUAUAUGCAGACAACUGCUUUAUGUGCUUGAAAAGGUUGAAUAUGAAAAGAUCAAAGCUGCUAAUGUAAGGAGAGACCCUUCUUUAAAAAUACACACCAACAAAUGGACUCAAAGGAUUAGACCGUUCACAUCCUUGUUUGACCCUGCAGUCUUUACUUCAAGCGGUAUACAGGAGGUGGGUAAUGCAACAUAACAAAGGUCUGCUGAGAAACAUUCAAAGGAACUUUGUGCAAGGAUAGUAGGAAAAAGCACUAAAGGCUCUGUUUUCAAUCAAAAGAUGCACUGGUCAGAUAAUAAUAAAGAAAACCUUACAGAAGACACUUCUUUGGUACCAAUAACGAACAAGCCCACAAAUAAAACGUUGCAUUUUGGCAGAUCUUUUGCCCUGUUGUCCUGUGUUCUAAUCCGCAACAUAAACAACAUUGACUCUCAAUGUCACAUGUGGACUGCAGACCCUUGGCUCCGAUUAGCUUCUUACUGCAGCAGGGUAAGCGUGUGUGGAACCCACGUGGGGCCAGAGAGUAAUCUUUACUUAAAAAUGUCAGCUUGUUAAACUCAUUUGAUCUGUCUUACAUCAUCCCUUCUUGACAUCUCAACAUGCAAAAGGGAAAAUAAGUAUUGAACACGUCGACUUUUUGGAUAAAUGUCAUAAAAUUCUCACCGGGUCCAUGAUUAGGGUGAAGGUGUUAAACGAGAGUCAUACAGCGAAUAGUUAUUGAAUACCUAGUCAAAAUGGUCUUUAAAAACCACAGGAAAAAAAAAACAAACAGGAAAAUUAGUUCUAUCAAUAUUUGGAAAGCAAUCAGGGCAGAAUGGCUAGUUUGGUAGUAAUUGAUAGUCUGCAACCUUAUUGUUGCGAAACAUACCGAAGCGAUAAUCUUUUCUGAACUUCUCAAUAUUCCAUUGACCACAGUUGAAGCCAUAAUCCAGAAGUGGAACUAACAUAAUUUCACCAUAAAACAACUAGUUGCUCCUCUGUCUAAAGAGUCAAAAAGUAAGGGAAACAAGAAGUAAUGCACUCAAAUUCCACAUUACACACUCACAGCACAAUGCUCCACUAAUGAAAAAAAAUAAUUGAAGUUUUCUUAACGCUUGCUGGAGAGUAUUGGACAAGCAGGGGGAGUAUGGUCUGGUCAAACGUGACCAAAGUUAAAAUAUUUUGAUGUCACUGGACAUCACCAAAACAAAAGCCACACUAAAAGUGAGUCUUGAAGGUGUGAACCUCAUGAUGUGACGAGGACCGUGUAACUGAAGGGAUGACGUAUUUGCAUAUUUACCGAGAUAUUCUUAACUAGAAUCUAAAGAUGAAACGAGGGCGUAACUUUGUGCGUGACAAUGAUCCCAAGGAAACCCUCAUUUGGUUUCAGGGAAAGAAAGUUCAGCUGUUGAAAUGACCAAUUCAAUCACCAAACUAGAACAUUAAAAAUCAGAACACUUAAGAUUUGAAGACUGUUUCAAAGUCACACCUGAGAAAUGCAGGCCAUGCUAGUUUCUGAAUGCAGGAGAUGGCACAACAGGGCACAGUCUUAGUUAAAAGAAAAAUCAACAUCUCUCCUAUUAAAGCACCUGUCUCACAGCCGCUUCUAUCAUACUGGUAUAGACGGCACGCUAAGCUUCUUAAGGAACACAUCCUCAACUUCAGUGUGGCGUUAGGCUGGCAGUGGAUAGCCAGUGGUAAUCCGGUGUCAAACACUCAUGCAUACACCAUUGAUUAAGUCUACUCCUAUCCUUAAAUACAAAAUCGUUAUAUUUUAACAGGAUAUUUACAUAUUUGCAUAACUUACAUUACCUAUUUUCACACCUGAAUAUCCUACAGCAAACUAGAUGGAUUAAGGAAACUGGCAAACACAUACCAACCUGUGUCCUAUAGAAAAAUGGAAUAAUCAAUUAAAACAGUCAAACCAAGUACAAAAAAAAAAAAAGAGAGUAAACUCAAGCCGACACCAGGAAGAAACAGAUUCUGUUACAUCCCCAGAACUGUCAUCACGUCACUACCGUGUGCAACUCACCACAGGCCUGGGUUGCCCUUGGCCGUUUCACAGAAGAAGUGGUUGAAAAGAUCUCUGGUGUUGAAGUUGCCCAGCAUAGUUGUGAAAUGAGAACAUGAACCUGCUGGCCAGCCAACCUAUGACUGCGGUAGGGAACCACUAAUCCUCCAUCACAUGACCCGCAGCUCAAUAAUCCCUUCUGGGUCUGACAGCACCUGGUCCAAAUGGGCUGACAGCCAAAGUGUGUAGAAGUUAAAGGUAACGUGGGUAAAUCUAUCUGAUUCUUAGAUACUGGUAAAAAAAAAGA